rnacentral:rRNA from 1 species
UACGAAGGGGGCUAGCGUUGCUCGGAAUUAUUGGGCGUAAAGGGCGCGUAGGCGGCUGUACAAGUCAAAGGUGAAAUCCCUCGGCUCAACUGAGGAACUGCCUUUGAAACUGUACGGCUUGAGGCCGGGAGGGGGUAGCGGAAUUCCCAAUGUAGCGGUGAAAUGCGUAGAUAUUGGGAGGAACACCAGUGGCGAAGGCGGCUACCUGGACCGGUUCUGACGCUGAGGCGCGAAAGCGUGGGUAGCAAACAGG